GGAUCCAUUGCGCAAUGGUAGCAUGUCUGACUCCAGAUCAAAAGGUUGCGUGUUUGAUUCACGUCGUGUUCA
rfam:Picea glauca, whole genome shotgun sequence.